rnacentral:rRNA from 1 species
AGAGUUUGAUCAUGGCUCAGAUUGAACGCUGGCGGCAUGCUUUACACAUGCAAGUCGAGCGGCAGCGCGGGGGCAACUCUGGCGGCGAGCGGCGAACGGGUGAGUAAUACAUCGGAACGUAUCCCGUAGAGGGGGAUAGCCCGGCGAAAGCCGGAUUAAUACCGCAUAUGCUCUACGGAGGAAAGUGGGGGACCUGCAAGGGCCUCACGCUAUGGGAGCGGCCGAUGGCCGAUUAGCUAGUUGGUGGGGUAAAGGCCUACCAAGGCGACGAUCGGUAGCUGGUCUGAGAGGAUGAUCAGCCACACUGGGACUGAGACACGGCCCAGACUCCUACGGGAGGCAGCAGUGGGGAAUUUUGGACAAUGGGGGCAACCCUGAUCCAGCCAUGCCGCGUGCGGGAAGAAGGCCUUCGGGUUGUAAACCGCUUUUGGUCGGGAAGAAAGGUCUCUUGAAUACGGAGGAUCUAUGACGGUACCGGCAGAAUAAGCACCGGCUAACUACGUGCCAGCAGCCGCGGUAAUACGUAGGGUGCGAGCGUUAAUCGGAAUUACUGGGCGUAAAGAGUGCGUAGGCGGUUGCUGAAGUCUGCUGUGAAAGCCCCGGGCUCAACCUGGGAAUGGCAGUGGAAACUAGGCGACUUGAAUCUGGCAGAGGGGGGUGGAAUGCCACGUGUAGCAGUGAAAUGCGUAGAGAUGUGGCGGAACACCGAUGGCGAAGGCAGCCCCCUGGGCUGAGAUUGACGCUCAGGCACGAAAGCGUGGGGAGCAAACAGGAUUAGAUACCCUAGUAGUCC